AUUGAACGCUGGCGGCAGGCUUAACACAUGCAAGUCGAGCGGAGAUGAGGUGCUUGCACCUUAUCUUAGCGGCGGACGGGUGAGUAAUGCUUAGGAAUCUGCCUAUUAGUGGGGGACAACAUUCCGAAAGGAAUGCUAAUACCGCAUACGUCCUACGGGAGAAAGCAGGGGAUCUUCGGACCUUGCGCUAAUAGAUGAGCCUAAGUCGGAUUAGCUAGUUGGUGGGGUAAAGGCCUACCAAGGCGACGAUCUGUAGCGGGUCUGAGAGGAUGAUCCGGCACACUGGGACUGGGACACGGCCCAGACUCCUACGGGAGGCAGCAGUGGGGAAUAUUGGACAAUGGGCGGAAGCCUGAUCCAGCCAUGCCGCGUGUGUGAAGAAGGCCUUUUGGUUGUAAAGCACUUUAAGCGAGGAGGAGGCUACCUGGAUUAAUACUCUAGGAUAGUGGACGUUACUCGCAGAAUAAGCACCGGCUAACUCUGUGCCAGCCGCCGCAGUAAGAC
rnacentral:rRNA from 1 species